GACUCUCGGCAACGGAUAUCUCGGCUCUCGCAUCGAUGAAGAACGUAGCGAAAUGCGAUACCUGGUGUGAAUUGCAGAAUCCCGUGAACCAUCGAGUCUUUGAACGCAAGUUGCGCCCGAGGCCUCUUGGCUGAGGGCACGCCUGCCUGGGCGUCACGCCAAAU
rnacentral:rRNA from 1 species